rnacentral:rRNA from 1 species
AGAUUGAACGCUGGCGGCAGGCCUAACACAUGCAAGUCGAGCGGCAGCGGGAAGAUAGCUUGCUAUCUUUGCCGGCGAGCGGCGGACGGGUGAGUAAUGCCUAGGGAUCUGCCCAGUCGAGGGGGAUAACAGUUGGAAACGACUGCUAAUACCGCAUACGCCCUACGGGGGAAAGGAGGGGACCUUCGGGCCUUCCGCGAUUGGAUGAACCUAGGUGGGAUUAGCUAGUUGGUGAGGUAAUGGCUCACCAAGGCGACGAUCCCUAGCUGUUCUGAGAGGAUGAUCAGCCACACUGGGACUGAGACACGGCCCAGACUCCUACGGGAGGCAGCAGUGGGGAAUAUUGCACAAUGGGGGAAACCCUGAUGCAGCCAUGCCGCGUGUGUGAAGAAGGCCUUCGGGUUGUAAAGCACUUUCAGUAGGGAGGAAAGGUAGCAGCUUAAUACGCUGUUGCUGUGACGUUACCUACAGAAGAAGGACCGGCUAACU